rnacentral:rRNA from 1 species
UUAAAUUGAAGAGUUUGAUCAUGGCUCAGAUUGAACGCUGGCGGCAGGCCUAACACAUGCAAGUCGAACGGUAACAGGAAGAAGCUUGCUGCUUUGCUGACGAGUGGCGGACGGGUGAGUAAUGUCUGGGAAACUGCCUGAUGGAGGGGGAUAACUACUGGAAACGGUAGCUAAUACCGCAUAACGUCGCAAGACCAAAGAGGGGGACCUUCGGGCCUCUUGCCAUCGGAUGUGCCAGAUGGGAUUAGCUAGUAGGUGGGGUAACGGCUCACCUAGGCGACGAUCCCUAGCUGGUCUGAGAGGAUGACCAGCCACACUGGAACUGAGACACGGUCCAGACUCCUACGGGAGGCAGCAGUGGGGAAUAUUGCACAAUGGGCGCAAGCCUGAUGCAGCCAUGCCGCGUGUAUGAAGAAGGCCUUCGGGUUGUAAAGUACUUUCAGCGGGGAGGAAGGGAGUAAAGUUAAUACCUUUGCUCAUUGACGUUACCCGCAGAAGAAGCACCGGCUAACUCCGUGCCAGCAGCCGCGGUAAUACGGAGGGUGCAAGCGUUAAUCGGAAUUACUGGGCGUAAAGCGCACGCAGGCGGUUUGUUAAGUCAGAUGUGAAAUCCCCGGGCUCAACCUGGGAACUGCAUCUGAUACUGGCAAGCUUGAGUCUCGUAGAGGGGGGUAGAAUUCCAGGUGUAGCGGUGAAAUGCGUAGAGAUCUGGAGGAAUACCGGUGGCGAAGGCGGCCCCCUGGACGAAGACUGACGCUCAGGUGCGAAAGCGUGGGGAGCAAACAGGAUUAGAUACCCUGGUAGUCCACGCCGUAAACGAUGUCGACUUGGAGGUUGUGCCCUUGAGGCGUGGCUUCCGGAGCUAACGCGUUAAGUCGACCGCCUGGGGAGUACGGCCGCAAGGUUAAAACUCAAAUGAAUUGACGGGGGCCCGCACAAGCGGUGGAGCAUGUGGUUUAAUUCGAUGCAACGCGAAGAACCUUACCUGGUCUUGACAUCCACGGAAGUUUUCAGAGAUGAGAAUGUGCCUUCGGGAACCGUGAGACAGGUGCUGCAUGGCUGUCGUCAGCUCGUGUUGUGAAAUGUUGGGUUAAGUCCCGCAACGAGCGCAACCCUUAUCCUUUGUUGCCAGCGGUCCGGCCGGGAACUCAAAGGAGACUGCCAGUGAUAAACUGGAGGAAGGUGGGGAUGACGUCAAGUCAUCAUGGCCCUUACGACCAGGGCUACACACGUGCUACAAUGGCGCAUACAAAGAGAAGCGACCUCGCGAGAGCAAGCGGACCUCAUAAAGUGCGUCGUAGUCCGGAUUGGAGUCUGCAACUCGACUCCAUGAAGUCGGAAUCGCUAGUAAUCGUGGAUCAGAAUGCCACGGUGAAUACGUUCCCGGGCCUUGUACACACCGCCCGUCACACCAUGGGAGUGGGUUGCAAAAGAAGUAGGUAGCUUAACCUUCGGGAGGGCGCUUACCACUUUGUGAUUCAUGACUGGGGUGAAGUCGUAACAAGGUAACCGUAGGGGAACCUGCGGUUGGAUCACCUCCUUACCUUAAAGAAGC